UUUAAGCUUCCUACGGGAGGCUGCAGUGGGGAAUCUUGCGCAAUGGGCGAAAGCCUGACGCAGCCAUGCCGCGUGAAUGAUGAAGGUCUUAGGAUUGUAAAAUUCUUUCACCGGGGACGAUAAUGACGGUACCCGGAGAAGAAGCCCCGGCUAACUUCGUGCCAGCAGCCGCGGUAAUACGAAGGGGGCUAGCGUUGCUCGGAAUUACUGGGCGUAAAGGGAGCGUAGGCGGACAUUUAAGUCAGGGGUGAAAUCCCGGGGCUCAACCUCGGAAUUGCCUUUGAUACUGGGUGUCUUGAGUAUGAGAGAGGUGUGUGGAACUCCGAGUGUAGAGGUGAAAUUCGUAGAUAUUCGGAAGAACACCAGUGGGGAAGGCGACACCCUGGCUCCUUACUGACGCUGAG
rnacentral:rRNA from 1 species